rnacentral:rRNA from 1 species
CAACUCGACUGCAUGAAGCCGGAAUCGCUAGUAAUCGCGGAUCAGAAUGCCGCGGUGAAUACGUUCCCGGGUCUUGUACACACCGCCCGUCACACCAUGGGAGUCGGAAAUGCCCGAAGCCGGUGGCCUAACCGAUAAGGGAGGAGCCGUCGAAGGCAGGUCUGAUGACUGGGGUGAAGUCGUAACAAGGUACC